UAGCUAGUUGGUGGGGUAAGGGCCUACCAAGGCGACGAUCGGUAGCUGGUCUGAGAGGAUGGCCAGCCACACUGGAACUGAGACACGGUCCAGACUCCUACGGGAGGCAGCAGUGGGGAAUAUUGGACGAUGGGGGAAACCCUGAUCCAGCAAUGCCGCGUGUGUGAAGAAGGCCUGAGGGUUGUAAAGCACUUUCAGUGGGGAGGAGGAUUGAUUGGUUAAGAGCUGAUUGAUUGGACGUUACCCACAGAAGAAGCACCGGCUAACUCCGUGCCAGCAGCCGCGGUAAUACGGAGGGUGCGAGCGUUAAUCGGAAUUACUGGGCGUAAAGGGUGCGUAGGUGGUUGUAUAAGUUAUCUGUGAAAUCCCUGGGCUUAACCUGGGCAGGUCAGAUAAUACUGUAUGACUCGAGUAUGGGAGAGGGUAGUGGAAUUUCCGGUGUAGCGGUGAAAUGCGUAGAGAUCGGAAGGAACACCAGUGGCGAAGGCGGCUACCUGGCCUAAUACUGACACUGAGGCACGAAAGCGUGGGGAGCAAACAGGAUUAGAUACCCUGGUAGUCCACGCUGUAAACGAUGUCAACUAGCUGUUGGUUAUAUAAAAAUAAUUAGUGGCGC
rnacentral:rRNA from 1 species